AGAGUUUGAUCCUGGCUCAGGAUGAACGCUGGCGGCGUGCCUAACACAUGCAAGUCGAACGGAACUUCUUUGACAGAAUUCUUCGGAAGGAAGUUGAUUAAGUUUAGUGGCGGACGGGUGAGUAACGCGUGAGUAACCUGCCUUUGAGAGGGGAAUAACUUCCCGAAAGGGAUGCUAAUACCGCAUGACGCAUAUUUAUCGCAUGGUAGAUAUGCCAAAGAUUUAUCGCUCAAAGAUGGACUCGCGUCCGAUUAGCCAGUUGGCGGGGUAACGGCCCACCAAAGCGACGAUCGGUAGCCGGACUGAGAGGUUGAACGGCCACAUUGGGACUGAGACACGGCCCAGACUCCUACGGGAGGCAGCAGUGGGGGAUAUUGCGCAAUGGGGGAAACCCUGACGCAGCAACGCCGCGUGAAGGAUGAAGGUUUUCGGAUUGUAAACUUCUUUUAUUUAGGACGAAGAAUGACGGUACUAAAUGAAUAAGCUCCGGCUAACUACGUGCCAGCAGCCGCGGUAAUACGUAGGGAGCAAGCGUUAUCCGGAUUUACUGGGUGUAAAGGGUGCGUAGGCGGCUUGGUAAGUCAGAUGUGAAAUGUAUGGGCUCAACCCAUGCACUGCAUUUGAAACUAUUGAGCUUGAGUGAAGUAGAGGUAGGCGGAAUUCCCUGUGUAGCGGUGAAAUGCGUAGAGAUAGGGAGGAACACCAGUGGCGAAGGCGGCCUACUGGGCUUUAACUGACGCUGAGGCACGAAAGCGUGGGUAGCAAACAGGAUUAGAUACCCUGGUAGUCCACGCUGUAAACGAUGAUUACUAGGUGUGGGGGGUCUGACCCCUUCCGUGCCGGAGUUAACACAAUAAGUAAUCCACCUGGGGAGUACGACCGCAAGGUUGAAACUCAA
rnacentral:rRNA from 1 species